GACGAACGCUGGCGGCGUGCUUAACACAUGCAAGUCGAACGGAAAGGCCUCUUUCGGGGGGUACUCGAGUGGCGAACGGGUGAGUAACACGUGAGUAACCUGCCCUUGACUUUGGGAUAACUUUAGGAAACUGGGGCUAAUACCGGAUAGGAGCUCCUGCUGCAUGGUGGGGGUUGGAAAGUUUCGGCGGUUGGGGAUGGACUCGCGGCUUAUCAGCUUGUUGGUGGGGUUGUGGCUUACCAAGGCUUUGACGGGUAGCCGGUCUGAGAGGGUGACCGGCCACAUUGGGACUGAGAGACGGCCCAGACUCCUACGGGAGGCAGCAGGGGGGAAUAUUGCACAAGGGGUGAAAGCCUGAUGCAGCAACGCCGUGUGCGGGAGGACGGCCUUAGGGUUGAAAACCGCUUUCGCUCGUGACGAAGCUUUGUGUGACGGUAGUGGGUAAAGAAGCACCGGCUAACUACGUG
rnacentral:rRNA from 1 species